GAGAGGGAGUUAGUACUCAGCCCACACCUUGAACUGGAGACCAGUUCCGAACUCCUCUACGGGAAGCAGCAGUGGGGAAUUUUGCACAAUUGGCGCCAAGCUGAUGCAAGCCAUUGUCCGCAGGUAUGAGAAGGACUCUUCAGGUUGGUAAAGUACUUUCAGUGGGAGAAAGGCGUUAAGGUUAAUACCUUCGACGAAUAUGACGUUACCCGGCAGAAGAAGCACCGGCUAACUCCGUGCCAGCAGCCGCGGUAAUACGGAGGGUGCAAGCGUUUAAUCGGAAUUACUGGGCGUAAAGCGCACGCAGGCGGUUUAUUAAAGUAGAUGUGAAAUCCCCGGGCUUAACCUGGGAAUUGCAUUUGAAACUGGCAGGCUAGAGUCUUGUAGAGGGGGGUAGAAUUCCAGGUGUAGCGGUGAAAUGCGUAGAGAUGUGGAGGAAUACCGCGUGGCGAAGGCGGCCCCCUGGACAAAGACUGACGCUCAGGUGCGAAAGCGUGGGGAGCAAACAGGAUUAGAUACCCUGGUAGUCCACGCUGUAAACGAUGUCGAUUUGGAGGUUGUGCCCUAGCAGGCGUGGCUUCCGGAGGGCUAACGCGUUAAGUCGACCGCCUGGGGAGUACGGCCGCAAGGUUAAAACUCAAAUGAAUUGACGGGGGCCCGCACAAGCGGUGGAGCAUGUGGUUUAAUUCGAUGCAACGCGAAGAACCUUACCUACUCUUGACAUCCAGAGAAUUUUGCAGAGAUGGUUUGGUGCCUUCGGGAACUCUGAGACAGGUGCUGGACAUGGCUGUCGUCAGCUCGUGUUGUGAAAUGUUGGGUUAAGUCCCGCAACGAGCGCAACCCUUAUCCUUUGUUGCCAGCGAUUAGGCCGGGAACUCAAAGGAGACUGCCAGUGAUAAACCGGAGGAAGGUGGGGAUGACGUCAAGUCAUCAUGGCCCUUACGAGUAGGGCUACACACGUGCUACAAUGGCGUAUACAAAGAGAAGCGACCUCGCGAGAGCAAGCGGACCUCAUAAAGUACUGUCGUAGUCCGGAUUGGAGUCUGCAACUCGACUCCAUGAAGUCGGAAUCGCUAGUAAUCGUAGAUCAAGAAUGCUACGGUGAAUACGUUCCCGGGCCUUGUACACACCGCCCGUCACACCAUGGGAGUGGGUUGCAAAAGAAGUAGGUAGCUUAACCUUCGGAGGCGCUACCCCACCUUUGGUUCACGUC
rnacentral:rRNA from 1 species